CCUACGGGUGGCAGCAGUGGGGAAUAUUGCACAAUGGGGGAAACCCUGAUGCAGCGACGCCGCGUGAGUGAAGAAGUAUUUCGGUAUGUAAAGCUCUAUCAGCAGGGAAGAAAAUGACGGUACCUGAGUAAGCAGCCCCGGCUAACGACGUGCCAGCCGCCGCGGUCAUACGUAGGGGGCAAGCGUUAUCCGGAUUUACUGGGUGUAAAGGGAGCGUAGACGGCAGGGCAAGUCUGGAGUGAAAGGCGGGGGCUCAACCCCCGGACUGCUCUGGAAACUGGACGGCUGGAGUGCAGGAGAGGUAAGUGGAAUUCCUAGUGUAGCGGUGAAAUGCGUAGAUAUUAGGAGGAACACCAGUGGCGAAGGCGGCUUACUGGACUGUAACUGACGUUGAGGCUCGAAAGCGUGGGGAGCAAACAGGAUUAGAUACCCGUGUAGUC
rnacentral:rRNA from 1 species